ensembl:lncRNA
CAUUUUGUCUCUCUGUGCAGGCCAGGGCCUAUUAUAUGCCACAGCCUAAAGGCAGCAGAGUUGCAGAGGCUGUAGUGACCACUGGCUAUAUGCUUGCAGGGUGGUGGGUCUCCAAGGACAACUUCUAACCCUGUUAAAGGCAACACGUGGAGUGCAACUGGCCGUGUGGCAUAGCUGGCUCUGGCCUUGGGACUGUGUGUUUUUAUACGAUUCAUAAAUGGGACACUGGAGUGUUUUAUCUUUUAUCUCUUGAUAUUUUUUGUCAAUAAAUUAUCUUUUAGAAUUUUAUUGACUGUCAUCUUUUUGCCCACGACAGAGACUGUUGGUCAGACCUAGAAUCUUUCUUUGGCAUAAAUGCAAUGGCCAGAAAUGCAGUGUUACCUUUGAACUUCACUAUGGUCACGUGACCACCACACCAAGCCUGCUGAUGAUAUCUCUGUGACGAAUUCUGGAGUCUAAUUUUGCCACUUGUUAACAAAUAUUGUCUCUGAUAUGUGUAAUAGCUGUCCAAGCUAACUACUAAAUAACUUGUUCCUUUCUCAACUAAAGUCAUUCAUUAACUGUUUACAUGCUUAGUCUCGCCUUGUUUGUUACUCAUUUCUUUGUUUUGUACUGCUGGAAAAUCCCCUGACUCGCCUUGUCAGCUUGUUUCACUCCACUCAUUUCCUACAGACCUACACAGACUUAUUACACGUCCACUUUGUGGUGUCAUGAUCUUAUCUCUACUAUUUACAGUCAGUUGGUUUACAUUUCCACACUGAGUGACUUAAUGGAGGUCUUACUGAUUGUCUUAGAGACUGUAAAGGCAGUGGUAAGAUGUUUAAAUCACUAUACCGGAGACAGGGAGUUUGAA